AGACGGAGCGGAACUUGGGGAAUCACUGGGAAACGAGGCCUUGGGAGGGACCUGAAGGAGCAUCUAGCCCCAGCCUCCCCUGCCAAGGGCAGGAACACGUCCCACUGAACACCCUAUACCCUGUCCUGGCAUUGAGCACUGCCAAGGAUGGGGCGUUCACAACCUCUUUGGGCAAGCUGUUCCUCACCACUGUCACAGGAAAAAAAAUCUUCCUAAUAUCUAACCUAAAUUUACCCUCUUUCAAUUUGUAGCCGUUUCUCUUUGUCCUGUCACUGCAGUUCCUGACCAUGGGUGCCUCUCUGGCUUCCCUGCAGGCCCCCCUCAGCUGCCUUAGUGACAAAUAUCCAGGAGAGAUUCAGCAGGCUUUCAUCAAAGAGUUGAUCUCAUAAGAGUCAAUUCCACUUUUUCACUCGCCACAACUUACAAUGCAGCAGAAACUUCUUGUUCUCCAGUAGAUUGUGUGUAGGUGGAGCUCGCACGUUCAGCUGUGUCAGCAUAGAAAACAGGACAGUAUUUAGACAAGUGGACUGCAAUCUGCUUUCGGAAAAAGCUGCGAAGAUAUUUCCUAAAUUUUUCUCCAGCAAAGGCAUAGAUUACAGGGUUGAUGCAACAAUGGAUCAUUGAGAUUGUUUCCGUCACUUGGAUUGCUUUGUGCAGUUGACCAUUUCCUUCACAAGUAGAGAUGGAAAAUGCACCUUGAAAAUCACGCAAGAGAAUGCAAAUGUUGUAUGGUGCCCAGAAAAAAAAGUAGGUAAUCAUGAUAAUGAAAAUAAGCCUGACUGCUUUAUGUUUCUUCUCGUUCCUACACUGCAGUAAUGUCUUUAUAAUGCGUGUGUAGCUGCAGAUCAUGAUUAACAUUGGAAUAAGAAGUCCCAGGAUGUUCAUUUUUAGGGUGAGGAAUUUCUUCCAUGCAUUUCUCUGCUCAGAUGGAUAAUGAGCAUUGCAAGUAUAGCCUGAACUUUCCUUCUGAGUUUUGUGAAAUACUACCCCAGGGAGGGAAAUAAGAACAGCAACAGCCCAAGUGACAACACUGGCGAGGACACCGUAGGUAACUGUCCUGGCUUUCAAAGCAAACACUGCGUGCACUAUGGCCAGGUACCUGUCCAGGGUCAGCAGGAUAAUGAAGAAGAUGCCACUGUAGAAGCCAAGGAGGUGGACACCUGACAGAAUUCGACACAGUGC